rnacentral:ncRNA from 1 species
UAGAGUAAAAUGAAAUCAUAUAAUCCUAGUAAUAAGGUCUAGGAGUUUCUACGAAGCAACCGAUAAUUGCUUUACUAUGGACGGUGGA